UGGGGAAUAUUGCACAAUGGGCGAAAGCCUGAUGCAGCGACGCCGCGUGAGGGAUGACGGCCUUCGGGUUGUAAACCUCUUUCAGCAGGGAAGAAGCGAAAGUGACGGUACCUGCAGAAGAAGCGCCGGCUAACUACGUGCCAGCAGCCGCGGUAAUACGUAGGGCGCAAGCGUUGUCCGGAAUUAUUGGGCGUAAAGAGCUCGUAGGCGGUUAGUCGCGUCUGCUGUGAAAACUCGAGGCUCAACCUCGGGCUUGCAGUGGGUACGGGCUGACUAGAGUGCAGUAGGGGUGACUGGAAUUCCUGGUGUAGCGGUGGAAUGCGCAGAUAUCAGGAGGAACACCGAUGGCGAAGGCAGGUCACUGGGCCGCAACUGACGCUGAGGAGCGAAAGCAUGGGGAGCGAACAGGAUUAGAUACCCUGGUAGUCCAUGCCGUAAACGUUGGGCACUAGGUGUGGGGUCCAUUCCACGGAUUCCGUGCCGCAGCAAACGCAUUAAGUGCCCCGCCUGGGGAGUACGGCCGCAAGGCUAAAACUCAAAGGAAUUGAC
rnacentral:rRNA from 1 species